rnacentral:rRNA from 1 species
CCUANGGGUGGCAGCAGUGAGGAAUAUUGGUCAAUGGGCGCAAGCCUGAACCAGCCAUCCCGCGUGCAGGAAGACGGCGCUAUGCGUUGUAAACUGCUUUUCCAGGGGGCGAAUAGCUUCGACGAGUCGGGGUAUGACGGUACCCUGGGAAUAAGCAUCGGCUAACUCCGUGCCAGCAGCCGCGGUAAUACGGAGGAUGCGAGCGUUAUCCGGAUUUAUUGGGUUUAAAGGGUGCGUAGGCGGAAAAAUAAGUCAGUGGUGAAAACCUGCAGCUUAACUGUGGAACUGCCAUUGAUACUGUUAUUCUUGAGUAUGGUCAAGGUAGGCGGAAUGUGUAAUGUAGCGGUGAAAUGCUUAGAUAUUACACAGAACACCGAUUGCGAAGGCAGCUUACUGGGCCAUUACUGACGCUGAUGCACGAAAGCGUGGGGAGCGAACAGGAUUAGAUACCCCUNUANUC